UACGUAGGGUGCAAGCGUUGUCCGGAAUUAUUGGGCGUAAAGAGCUCGUAGGCGGUCUGUCGCGUCUGCUGUGAAAAACUCGGGGCUUAACCCCGGGCCUGCAGUGGGUACGGGCAGACUAGAGUGCGGUAGGGGGAGACUGGAAUUCCUGGUGUAGCGGUGAAAUGCGCAGAUAUCAGGAGGAACACCGGUGGCGAAGGCGGGUCUCUGGGCCGUAACUGACGCUGAGGAGCGAAAGCAUGGGGAGCGAACAGG
rnacentral:rRNA from 1 species